CAAAUCGUACCCCAAACCGACACAGGUGGUCAGGUAGAGAAUACCAAGGCGCUUGAGAGAACUCGGGUGAAGGAACUAGGCAAAAUGGUGCCGUAACUUCGGGAGAAGGCACGCUGACACGUAGGUGAAGUGAUUUACUCAUGGAGCUGAAGUCAGUCGAAGAUACCAGCUGGCUGCAACUGUUUAUUAAAAACACAGCACUGUGCAAACACGAAAGUGGACGUAUACGGUGUGACGCCUGCCCGGUGCCGGAAGGUUAAUUGAUGGGGUCAGCGCAAGCGAAGCUCCUGAUCGAAGCCCCGGUAAACGGCGGCCGUAACUAUAACGGUCCUAAGGUAGCGAAAUUCCUUGUCGGGUAAGUUCCGACCUGCACGAAUGGCGUAAUGAUGGCCAGGCUGUCUCCACCCGAGACUCAGUGAAAUUGAACUCGCUGUGAAGAUGCAGUGUACCCGCGGCAAGACGGAAAGACCCCGUGAACCUUUACUAUAGCUUGACACUGAACAUUGAGCCUUGAUGUGUAGGAUAGGUGGGAGGCUUUGAAGUGUGGACGCCAGUCUGCAUGGAGCCGACCUUGAAAUACCACCCUUUAAUGUUUGAUGUUCUAACGUGGACCCGUAAUCCGGGUUGCGGACAGUGUCUGGUGGGUAGUUUGACUGGGGCGGUCUCCUCCUAAAGAGUAACGGAGGAGCACGAAGGUUGGCUAAUCCUGGUCGGACAUCAGGAGGUUAGUGCAAUGGCAUAAGCCAGCUUGACUGCGAGCGUGACGGCGCGAGCAGGUGCGAAAGCAGGUCAUAGUGAUCCGGUGGUUCUGAAUGGAAGGGCCAUCGCUCAACGGAUAAAAGGUACUCCGGGGAUAACAGGCUGAUACCGCCCAAGAGUUCAUAUCGACGGCGGUGUUUGGCACCUCGAUGUCGGCUCAUCACAUCCUGGGGCUGAAGUAGGUCCCAAGGGUAUGGCUGUUCGCCAUUUAAAGUGGUACGCGAGCUGGGUUUAGAACGUCGUGAGACAGUUCGGUCCCUAUCUGCCGUGGGCGCUGGAGAACUGAGGGGGGCUGCUCCUAGUACGAGAGGACCGGAGUGGACGCAUCACUGGUGUUCGGGUUGUCAUGCCAAUGGCACUGCCCGGUAGCUAAAUGCGGAAGAGAUAAGUGCUGAAAGCAUCUAAGCACGAAACUUGCCCCGAGAUGAGUUCUCCCUGAGACUUAGAGUCUCCUGAAGGAACGUUGAAGACGACGACGUUGAUAGGCCGGGUGUGUAAGCGCAGCGAUGCGUUGAGCUAACCGGUACUAAUGAACCGUGAGGCUUAACCUUACAACGCCGAAG
rnacentral:rRNA from 3 species